CUCCGGCGCGGCCUCCGCCUCUCGCGGUCCGGCGAGCUCAGCUUGGCAACGGCUCCCGGGUCCCGCCGCGGCCCCGGCCGCUCGAGAAGCUCCGCAAGCUUUAGCUCUCGCUCCCCCGUCCGACCGCUCGGGCGCCCUGCAGCCUUGCCCGGCGCCACCGCGCGCCCGGACUCCUUCGCUGCGCUGUGCCUUCUUGUGGGGCGACCUGGAGGAACGCAGCGAACUUAGGAAUCUUUCCUAGGCGUUGUCAGGCACUUCUCCAGUCCACCCUGGUACCGGAGUUGCUACUCCAGGGCACAAAAGUGAUCUGUUUGGUGUCCAUCUCUUGAGAGUGCCGCGGACAGAGCUGGGAAGGGCAGGCGGGGAGCAUUCCUUGCCCCCCGACCCCCGUCCGCCGCCUCCCGCCAACCCUACAAGUUUACAAAAAAGCAGCUGAAGUUAUUCCAUCCAGUCUGGACUUUGGCUGCUAGGCAGAAAGACAAAGGCCGAAGCACCGAGAAGCAGAAAGGUGGUGCCUUUGGGAGGUGACUAGUUAAUGAACAAGAAAACGGGCCCUCAUCAGACUCAGAAUGUGCCAGUGCCUGGAUCUUGGACUUGUCAGCCUCCAGAACUGUCGCUUGGGGACCUUCUGGUCCACCUCUUUAUGUUACCUACAGAGCUAGGUGUUCUGGCUAGACCUCCCUCCAGAGGCUUGUGGCAAUGACUUGAAUAAGGAGGCAAAAUAUCCUGGGAGGUUCCUGAGAAACCUGAAGAAGACCUGAGGCUUUUCAGAUACACAGGUAGGACCAUUUUAAGAUGUAUGGGAGUUUUAUUUGAACCAGGAGUGGGAGGGAUUGCUGGA